rnacentral:lncRNA from 1 species
CUGUAAGUGUGUAUUACAUCUAAUAGAGCUGUUUUAAUGAAGACGGGUGAGCAUCUGUCUCUCCAUAAACGAUCUUUGUUGUGCGACGUAAUGUCGUGAGACCUUCGAACAGACUCAACUUAAAGCAUAGAGGCCUGUAUCUCAGCAGCGCAUUGGUCAAGCUGGGUGAUUGACACGUCUGUAGAACCGUCAGAGCCAGUGGAAUCGACGGGGAGCGUCAAAGUCCCUCCCAAGGACACCGUUCGCUAUUUGUGAGGGGGCGAACCCACUAUGACACCUUUUUUCCCCGACGCCAUUUGACUUGCGACUUCCGCAUGUGUAGUCGAAGUAGGACGGACCAGGCGGAUUAACAUCUUGAGAUGACGAGGCGGUCUUUGUGCUAAGCUAACGGGCAUUGGAUUUAUGGAUCAAAACACAACUUUUCCUGCAAAUACUUUGACGCUUCCACGCUAAAUGAGAACCAGACGUUCAGCAGACCCAAUCAAGCCGCCCCUCCGCCGAACGAGCCGCAUUGUGUGAUGGGUAAACAGCGAGUCUGGAUGUUGCCUGCGGGGAUCGAGCCCCGUGACAAACCGAUGUCUGAGGAGGAGGAACAGACCUUUCAGGACUUCAAAAACGCAUCUGCAGCAGGGCUGCCAGGACACGUCGGCAGGAAUCACAAAUCCAGCUUCAGUAAUGCUACUCUGUACGUUCUGUACACAAAAGCCCUCAGAGUGACCAUCCGUGUCAGGAGGAGGGAAGCUGUUUUGUUAAGUGUGGCGCAGAGUCACAAUCCCAUUGAGCUGGUGCAAGAACCCUCGAAUGUGCUUGCAUAGUUGUGAGUGCGUCUGUUUCCCCCUACCCAGCCAUGUGCUUUGGAGAACCCUCAGAGACAAAACCACACAUUGGAGCUGUAGCAGGGGGUAGAUGAAGAAGACGAGGAAGGCUCCAGAAUAAGCUCUGCCGGCGCUCCCAGCCAAGACACUCGCCAGAAACCAAACUGGAUGUGGUGAAACUGUCAAAUUACUUAAGGAAACUGCAUCGAAACCUCAGGAGGCGAAAAACAGAGAGGGACGACGAGACUCUGUUUUUUUUUUUCUUCAGUGUUUUGCAAAACAAGCAAAGCAAAAUUAUAUUUGGGGAAGAAUUUAUAAUCCAAAGAGGGUUGUCAGUGUGGAGGCCUGUUAGAGAGCAUAUUUGUCAGUGUUCAUUCACCAUGAUUAGGAUGGAGGAUAAAUUCAGCCUUCCUCGUCCAGAUUACUCUGCAAAAUAUUUGUAGUUUAAAGAGUUAUUUAUUGUGGUGCGCCGGUGGCCCGCAGCACUUUCAAGGCGCUGACCAUGAACUGCAUCUUUAGAUUUCAUCCAUAUGACAGAGCUCUGAUAAAGUCUCGAAUGCUUUUUAAAAAGUGAACCUAAGAAAAGCUGAGAAAGUGUAAGUAUGCUGAAAUAAGCCGUUCUGAUUAGUCUACAUUUUGGCGUGAUGGUUUUGUUGGAGAUGAUAUAUGAAUCUGUAUAUUAUGGGGUUUGCUCGACUUCAAACUCCUUGUUUGCAAAGGGAAUUCUUUGCAACAAGCAGCAAUCUGUAUCCGUGUCCAACGGUCCGUUUCACAGUGACACACUGGUCUUUCCUCACAAUACUUUCAUGCACGGUUAGGGAACAAGCAGGGUUUCCAUAAACAAAAAAACAUGAACUUAACUUGCCAUGCGUGGAUAUUGUUUAGCAAGAGUACAUUGUAAUGGAAUAAAUUAAUAGGUUGUCAGGUUAACAAAAUGUUAGGUUAUAGGAGCGCUUCCUGGAAGUGCUCUUUGGAUGGGAUGCAUGUUGAGAAUGAAAAAGCAAAGAAAACUUAGAGGAAUUCUCCUUUUUCUCUCCAUAGGCAGAGAUUGUUUGGCUGCAUUUUUUCAUUUCUGGGGGGGGAAAUGGUACGAAGACCUUGUUCAAACAUCCUGAAGUGUUGCACUAGUUUCUGAAAUUGCCUCAAAAUGUGCGCUAAACUUUAUGAAAACAAGAGGGCUUUUAUUUUGACAUGGCUGCCUGUUAAACUGAUGUAGGAUGUAAUUUAAUUUAAGAGGAAGAUGUAACAUGAACACUCUGUGUUGAGUUGACACGAGGGAUGAAUGAGCUCAAGGGCUGAGUGGCUCAUUAGGCCGCUAUAAAUCACUGCUAUAUGUUUCAAAUAAAGUGUUACCAUUUGUGACGUGUGUGUGUGUGUGUGUGUGUGUGUGUGUGUGUGUGUGUGUGUGUGUGUGUGUGUGUGUGUGUGUGUGUGUGUGUGUGUGUGUGUGUGUGUGUGUGUGUGUGUGUGCGCGCGCGCGUUUGCCCUUGCACCGUUCUCUGGCUCCACUAAGACUCCAUGCCCAGCAGUUAUAGACAGCAGAGACGGCUAUAACUUCCACUGCCUGCACACACACACACACUACCUCCUCCUCACUCCAUAACAAACAGCGAGAGCUUGGGCCCCCAAGGCUUCCUGUAUCCUACACACAGCCAGCAAAUAAACACAAUCACAUUCAUUUAGCCCUACACACACACACACACGCACACACGAAUGACGGCACACAAACACACACAGCACACUGUGAGUGAAGGAGGACUCAGACCAAAUGGGUAACCACUGCUAUUUCUUCCCUCAUUAAGCCACAAUAUUACAAGCUGACACUCUGAGAGGCCUGUGGGCUUGGACUCGGUGUCCCGAGGUUUCCACUGUCGAGGGGUGAACGUCUCCUUCUGUUACAGGAAAGGGGCAACAGAGGAAUCAGAGGAGAUAACCAGCGAUCCCGCAGAGAUUUAAUGUGCAUAUUUGAGAGGCCGAAUCUGGAAAAUCAAGGGAACCAUGUGUCCACAAGAUGAUUAAGGUCACAGAGAAGCGGAUGACUUCUCUUUUGGCAUCUGUCUGUGUGUUUCUUACAAUCAAGUAUUGAAAUUGCAUGAUUUAUUUUUCCACUCGUGUGUAGGUUUUCCUAUAGCAGCAUUUCUGAAUUCAUCACGGCCUACAAUUAUACUGUUAGACACAGUUUUUUUUUGGUGAUUGGACAGUGAUCCUAAAAAAGCACAGUAACCAAGGAUUUUUUUUCUUCUGAACAGUGUAAUAUUCUUAAUUAGCAGAGUCAUCUGAGCUCAAUCUGAAUAAUACAAUAAUUUCAUGGAAAAACAAAUCCCCUUUUGUUAACAGGAAGAAGAUAUGGUGCAGAACAGGCCGAACAGAGAACAACAAAUGAAGUUACCAAGUGUCUGCUGAUGAGUGUGGGUGAGAUACUGUUUAUAAAUCAUUAACCGCAACAAAUCUGCAACCAAUUUUUAAGUGUUUUUAUUCUGGAUUAGAUGAAUAGGACAUUUUGCAUUUUGGGAAAU